rnacentral:rRNA from 1 species
UACAGAGGUCUCAAGCGUUGUUCGGAUUCAUUGGGCGUAAAGGGUGCGUAGGUGGCGCGUUAAGUCAGGUGUGAAAUUUCGGAGCUUAACUCCGAAACUGCAUUUGAUACUGGCGUGCUUGAGGACUGGAGAGGAGACUGGAAUUCAUGGUGUAGCAGUGAAAUGCGUAGAGAUCAUGAGGAAGACCAGUGGCGAAGGCGGGUCUCUGGACAGUUCCUGACACUGAGGCACGAAGGCCAGGGGAGCAGACGGG